UAGGGAAUCUUCGGCAAUGGGGGGAAACCUGACCGAGCAAUGCCGCGUGAGUGAAGAAGGCUUUCGGAUCGUAAAGCUCUGUUGUUAAGGACGAACGACUGUGUGAAUGGAAAGUUCAUGCUGUGACGGUACUUAACCAGAAAGGGACGGCUAACUACGUGCCUGAAGCCGCGGUAAUACGCAGGUCCCGAGUGUUGUCCGGAUUUAUUGGGCGUAAAGCGAGCGCAGGCGGUUAGUAAAGUCUGAAGUAAAAGGCAGUGUCUCAACCAUUGUAGGCUUUGGAAACUGUUUAACUUGAGUGCAGAAGGGGAGAGUGGAAUUCCAUGUGUAGCGGUGAAAUGCGUAGAUAUAUGGAGGAACACCGGUGGCGAAAGCGGCUCUCUGUUCUGUAACUGACGCUGAGGCUCGAAAGCGUGGGGAGCGAACAGG
rnacentral:rRNA from 1 species